GUUGGACUUCACUUAGCUACCAACAGUGCUCUCCUCAGAGUUGUGAAACUGAGCUCUGGACAAGCUCUGGGAAAGCCUUGAGGGCCUAGCUCUUGAGAGGGGAGCAGCUGCUCACACAGGGACCGCCAAGAAAAACUAUCUUGGCCCUCAAAGAGGAAACUGAAAAGCCACACCCCAAACCAUCAGCACCAGUCCUCAAGGGGAAACUGAUGAAGAACCAGCUUUUCCUCCAGUGGCCAGGAGGAACCUGCAACCGGCCCAGGAAAGCCUCUCAUCCUCUGGGCCUGGCAGCCAAGACUGAUGCCCUGAUACCUCUACCCUCAUUGUCACCAUAGAGCCCACAGGAGCCUCAGAUAGCUGUCUAGGACAUUCUGUGGGCAGAAUAAUACAGAGAAAGCAGCAUCAGAGAGCAGCCUAUGCAUGGUAAAAAAUGGUAUACAGUAAGGCAAUCCCUGGCCUCCUCUGUAGCUUCUCAGCCUAGCUCUAAUGAUGCUUCUGUAGAGGCUGUCCCCAAGGAGAGAACCAGGAGGAAGAGGAGCCAGAGGCAAAAGUUCUAGAACAGCCUGCAGGCUCCAGCAUAGCUGCCUCCAAAGCUGCCAUUAAGGCGGCUUCUGAGCUACAGCUCCCCAGGAGGGGGCAGAAGAGGAGCAUGUGGACUGUGGACCAUAUUGAGGGGACAAAACUCUGGAUAAACAAGAAGACAAG